CGCGUAGGCGGUUUACACAGUCAGAUGUGAAAUUCCAGGGCUUAACCUUGGGGCUGCAUUUGAUACGUGUAGACUAGAGUGUGAGAGAGGGUUGUGGAAUUCCCAGUGUAGAGGUGAAAUUCGUAGAUAUUGGGAAGAACACCGGUGGCGAAGGCAAUCCCCUGGACCUGUACUGACGCUCAUGCACGAAAGCGUGGGGAGCAAACAGGAUUAGAUACCCUCGUA
rnacentral:rRNA from 1 species